CUGAAACACUGGUUCCUAUAUGAUCUCCAAAGUUAAGCAACAUUGAGCCUGAUCAGUACCUAGAUGGGUGACCACUUGAGAAAACCAUGUACU